GCCCGCGGAGCUGGUGGCGUCAGGCGUGGAGGUGGCGGCGUUUCGCCCCUGCUCGAUGUGAGGCGGAGCGCGGCCCAGGCAAGCGGCGUGCGAGGGGCGCGGGGCCUCCGCGCCGCAGGCGGGAGAGUUCACAAUGACGAAUGAAGAACCUCUCCCAAAGAAGGUUCGCCUUAGUGAAGCAGAUUUUAAGGUUUUACCUAGAGAUGAGCUUAUCCUAAGGUGGAAACAAUAUGAAGCAUAUGUGCAAGCUCUGGAGGGCAAGUACACAGACCUUAAUUCUAAUGAUGUGACGGGGCUGAGAGAAUCUGAAGAGAAGCUGAAACAGCAACAGCAAGAGUCUGCCCGAAGAGAAAAUAUUCUGGUGAUGAGGCUGGCAACUAAGGAACAGGAGAUGCAAGAGUGUACUAAUCAGAUUCAGUACCUCAAGCAAGUCCAGCAGCCUAGUGUUGCCCAACUGCGAUCAACAAUGGUAGACCCAGCCAUCAACUUGUUUUUCCUAAAAAUGAAAGGUGAACUGGAACAGACUAAAGACAAACUGGAACAAGCCCAAAAUGAACUGAGUGCCUGGAAAUUUACGCCUGAUAGGUAAACAAAACAAAUACUCCCCAGUCAAGACUUCCCUGACAGUCCCACUACGAGAAUGCUAUGGUGGGACAGCCAAGUACUCGUUUCCACACCAAGACUCAGACGUUUUGAGGCAAAAGCCACAUUCUUAUACUGUCCAGCUUGUAAUGCUUAAUGUAAAACUUACCAGAUGAGCCUUGUGUUUCAGCUUUUUUCUCCCCUUUGCUUCAGAGGCCUGACAGCGUCGGACUGUUCUGAAGAAAUGGCCAUCUUCGAAAAAAAUCUUUUCUAGAACAUGUAGACAUUUGCAAAAUUGUUCUAUUUGAAGAAAAUAGAGGGAGAAACAGAAGUCUUAAGUCUGUGGCACACUGUGUCUACAGACAGUUUGGAGGAGAGAGAACCUAGAGAUUAUAAAUCAUGAAUUGAACAUGUAAAAUUCCCGUAAAAUGUAGAAGUGGAAUAUGCUUCGCUCUUAACCUUGAGCCUAGUGACUUAGAGACACUGUAAGUCAGUUUUGCCAAUAAGACUGUGGACUUCCUGCUUGUUCACUGAACUGCUGGGUCAAAACUCGAUGAGGUGAAUUUUGCAUUAAAGAGUUUACUUGCUAACCAGUUUUGAAUAGCCACGAGAGUGCUAUUUGAUAUCACAACAGUGGUAGUGUACAUAUUUGACUGUUUAGCCUUUGGGCGCUCUAGCACUUGACGCAGCCUUAAGUCACUGUUGCUAAAUAAUGAACUGUUUUUCUGGAUGGUUGGUAAUACUGUGGACGCCUCAAAAUUAGGACUGUACAAAAAUGUACGUUCCAUCUAAAUGCAGGUUUGAAAUUGUUUGAAGCAAUAUAUAUUUGAUCACAACUAGUGUGUAUAAGAAAAACUGGUUGUGAUAAGAAUUUCACUGCAUGUUUUCAUGCAGAAAUGAGAAUUUUCCGAUCUUUGUUCUAAGAACUGAUCUCAAAUGCUUAAUACAGAAGGCACAUGAUGGCAACUGUCUUCAGUGUUGGUGGGGUGUUUUUAUUCCGUUGUACACCUGGGGUUUUUUGUAUUGUGCUUCUCUAUAAAAUGUGCCUUGAAAUAGUUGUAAUACCUAGUUCAAGGAACACUUCUGGUUAUACUGUUGUAUCGUGAAACUCCUGGGAUGAACGAGAAUUGAACAGGUUGUUACUUCUGCAUUGUCUCCUUUGCUGAAAAAGAAGUCAGUAUUUUAACAAACAAACUUAAAUGCAUGCAUUUUCUUUGGAUUCAGUGAAGGAGUUUUUGCUAUUCUCUUGAUGCCUCUGUUCUGUUGUCCCAAGUUACUUGUAAGAGUAGCGAUCUGGGACAGUUGGGAGUGCACGUCUAAGGUCUGUAAAGCAAAUUGUAGAUCUGGUGUAGCAUUUGUGUGUUUGUUUUUUCCCGUAGCAAAUAGAGUUCUAUUUAGUAAUUGGAGCUGUUGAUUUUUCAAAACAGUUGGGCAACGUUUUAUGACUGAAUUUAAAAAUGAAUUUUUUAAACUAAAAAGAGACAUUCAGCUGUCACAGAGGUGAUGUAUUCUAACAGUUUUGCUGACUUCAAGAUGCCAUUACAUAAUUUUGACUUGGAAGUAUCUUUAACUGUUUGUGCUUCAGAUGAUUAAUAUGGGAUCAAAGAGUAGUAUACUUAUGCAGGUUUAUUUUUUUUUGCAUGAGUAAUGACUUAACACCAAAAGAAAAAUCCACAGAAAAACUUUACCUUUUAAAAAGUGAUACAUCUGGAAUGAUUUUGCUAUAGCAGUAUCUAAGAUUUUAUUGAUCUAGCAUCAAAACAGAGCCAAACAGGGAAAAAGUUAAUGGCGAAGUGUCGAAUGCUUAUCCAGGAGAAUCAAGAGCUUGGAAGGCAGCUGUCCCAAGGACGUAU